UACAGAGGGUGCGAGCGUUGUUCGGAAUUAUUGGGCGUAAAGGGCGCGUAGGCGGUGCGGUAAGUCACCUGUGAAAUCUCCUGGCUCAACUGGGAGCUUGCAGGCGAAACUGCCGUGCUGGAGUGUGGGAGAGGUGCGUGGAAUUCCCGGUGUAGCGGUGAAAUGCGUAGAGAUCGGGAGGAACACCAGUGGCGAAGGCGGCCUUCUGGGCAUUUCCUGACGCUGAGGCGCGAAAGCGUGGGGAGCGAACCGG
rnacentral:rRNA from 1 species